AUUGAACGCUGGCGGCAUGCCUUACACAUGCAAGUCGAACGGGGGUAGCAAUACCCUAGUGGCGAACGGGUGAGUAAAGCAUCGGAACGUACCCAGUUGUGGGGGAUAACGUAGCGAAAGUUACGCUAAUACCGCAUACGCACUGAGGUGGAAAGCGGGGGAUCGCAAGACCUCGCGCAAUUGGAGCGGCCGAUGUCGGAUUAGCUAGUUGGUAGGGUAAAAGCCUACCAAGGCGACGAUCCGUAGCUGGUCUGAGAGGACGACCAGCCACACUGGGACUGAGACACGGCCCAGACUCCUACGGGAGGCAGCAGUGGGGAAUUUUGGACAAUGGGCGAAAGCCUGAUCCAGCCAUGCCGCGUGAGUGAAGAAGGCCUUCGGGUUG
rnacentral:rRNA from 1 species